AAAACUACAAAAUAUCACUAAUCGCAAGACAGUAGCUUGUAUAUUUUUCCUUAAAAACGCAAAAAAUGUCCGAUAGCGAAAGCUUUGAAUCACAGACAGAUACAGAACAGCCAACAGAUAACGAGGACGUUGUUGAGCCACAAUCGUCUGUUGUACAGCCCUAUCAGUUCGAGCCAGUUGCUGAUAGUGACUAAUGACUAUGAGGAAGACGAAACAAGCGAAGACGGUCUUGAGGCGAGAUUUACGAAAACCGUAGCUGUUAGUUCAUGGUAAGUUUAACAAAGCAGUCUAAUAUCAAAGCGUUUCUCGAAUUAUUUAUUAGCGUGUUUCGUUUAACAUGUGAAUUGAUUUUAGGUGCACAUUUGAGAUUCUUGAAUGUAUGGCCAAAUUUACGUACGAUGGAAAAGACGCUGAAUGUAUUAUAUAGCACUGGGACUAUCCUGUUAUUACACACCGAACACUCGAACAGUAUAUUACCGCAAAUCAACAAGCAGAACUCAAGACGGGCAAAAUGAAUAAGUCAAAUUAAUUUCACUAAAUUUUGGUCAGUUUUCAUCAGUAUUUUCUAUAAACGUGUAUUUUAAUCUAUCUAUUGCUUUGAAACAGUGCAUUCGUGAAGGUAAUAACUUAGUCUCAGUGUUCCAUUGUUAAUGUUUAGAUACUUUGAUACCUUCGUGCAGUGGCGUAUAUCGGUGGAUAGUGAGAUGCAUGGAUAUUCGGCGUUAUUCGCCAUGCUCGGAUGGGAAAACUCUAGACCGCUUCCAGCAUGCCUGUAUAAUGAAAUCUGGAAGAGGUAUCCGUCUCAAAGCAACACUGGAUAUAAAUAAUCACAGCAGAGAACUGAGAACGUGAUAAAAAGUGUACACUUUGUUACGUAAACUGAUAUUGUAAAUUAUAAGUAUAAAUUAACCUAGUCAAAUAAAUGGUUCUUCACUCGGACUCUGUCGCGUGAGUAUGAUCGACUAAGAAGUAUAUAUAGAGCGCUCCGGCCUCGGUGGUUAAUACGCCUGUUGUGAAAACAUAAUUUCUUGACUGAUAAGGCCAGAAAGGAAUUAAAUUAAUUACGGCCCAGAAUAGUAUUCAUUUGACGCAGCUAGUACACAACCAGUGACUAAGGAAUAAAUUGCGCGCAAACAGUAUAUAGAUACGGCACGUUUCAGCAAACGCAAAUAGACGAAAACAUGACAUACUUGAAGCGUAAACAAGCAACGAGCUUAACUGUGGUAUGACGUGCGAACUGAGGUACUUUAGUACUUAUAUUCCUAAUAGUUUAUUGCGUUCUUGGUAUACUCAACUUCGUUUACUUCAAUUAAUUUCAUUUCGCCUAUUCUGUCAUAGUACGGACUGUAUAAAUUCUAGCUAUAUCCAACUAUCUACAAUGGACUAUAUACAACGAAAAUAUCUACAAUAUGCCACAACUAACGACAUCUGAAACCUACACUGCUACUACAACAUUGAUUUCGCAUUUCGGCGGCUUAUAAGCGAUAAAUCGUCGUAUGGUGAUAUCAUUGCAUUGAUUUACCAAUGUAUCACAUCUACAUAAGGCAGAUUUAUUUGGAUUUUGUUUAAAUUAUCAAAAAAUCCCAAUUCAACGCAGUUGAAGCUACAUUGUUUAUAGUAUUUACAGAUAGGAAGAGUGCACUGUGUCACACUGCAUACGUCAUCAUGACCUCUUGGCCGCGCGAGGAUUUCAUCAGCUAAAAUUUUCGUAGCCCAACUUUAAACGCAAAAUUCACAAACUUCUGGUUCGAAGUAUUCAACAAGGUUGGUAUUAAAAUGAUCAGAAAAGAUGAAAUUUUCA
rnacentral:lncRNA from 1 species